rnacentral:rRNA from 1 species
AGAUUGAACGCUGGCGGCAUGCCUUACACAUGCAAGUCGAACGGCAGCACGGGAGCAAUCCUGGUGGCGAGUGGCGAACGGGUGAGUAAUAUAUCGGAACGUGCCCAGUCGUGGGGGAUAACGCAGCGAACGCUGUGCUAAUACCGCAUACGAUCUAUGGAUGAAAGCGGGGAUCGCAAGACCUCGCGCGAUUGGAGCGGCCGAUAUCAGAUUAGCUAGUUGGUGGGUAAAGCCUACCAAGGCGACGAUCUGUAGCUGGUCUGAGAGGAUGAUCAGCCACACUGGAACUGAGACGAC